rnacentral:lncRNA from 1 species
GCGGCCACUUUCGUUUUACACGGAAACCGUCUAAAAUUUAACUAAAAUGCAGGAAUUGUGAAGAUUUCAGUAAUUUAGCAUGAAUUAAUGGUGCUAGUUCUCAAUAUAUGUGCAUUGUAUUGUCAAAAAGAGCCCAUAUUUAUGUAGCAGAACCUUUCUACUAUCCAAUAAAUGACUAAAAGUUUACAUUUUAACAAUUUUGUAAAACUGCUAUAUUUUGGGGCCAAAAAGGGGUCUUACUGGACCUACUCCUUUGU